UGGAUUUGGGGUUUUGAUAUAGAAAUUAGGAUAACAAGAAUUGUUUGUUUACAGAUGGAGUAUUCUUUUAGAUUUUUUGAUCAAUAGUUGUAUUUUUUAAAUAUAAUUAUCAAAAGUUCUAUUUUAGGAAAGUUUUCAUUGUAUAUAGAAAUAUUGUAGAUUUGGGGUUGUGGUUUAGAAAUUAGGAUAAAAAUAUAUUUUUUUGAUGUAUGAGUAUUUUUUUAGAUUUUUUGGAUCAAUAGGUUGUUUAUCUUAGAUAAAAUUCUCAAAACUUCUAUUUUUAGAAAGUUUUCAUUUUUAUUGAGAAAUAUUGUAGAUUUAAGGUUGUGAUUUAGAAUUUAGGAUAACAAGAAAUUUUGUUGAUAGAUGAGUAUUCUUUGAGGUUUUUUGAUCAAUAGGUUGUAUAUUUUAGAUGAAAUUUUCAAAACUUCUAUUUUUUGAAAGUUUUCAUUUUUAUUGAGAAUAUUAGAAGAAAUUUUGUUGAUAGAUGAGUAUUCCUUGUGGACUUUUGAUCAAUAAGUUGUAUUUUUAAGAUAAAAUUCUCAAAAGUGUAUUUAGGAAAGUUUUAUUUUUAUUGGGAAAUAUUGUAGAUUUGGGGUUCAGAUUAAAAAUAUUAGAAAACAGAAUUUUUGUUGAUAGGUGAGCAUUCUUUUAAAAGUUUUGAUCAUAGGUUGUAUAUUUUAUAUAAAUUCACAAAAUUCUAUUUUUGGAAAGUUUCAUUUUUGUGAAUAAUAGUGUGGAUUUGAGGUUUUGAUUUAGAAAUUACGAUAACAAAAAUUAUUUGUUGAUAGAUGGAGUAUUCUUUUACAUUUUUGAUGAAUAGUUAUAUUUUUUAAAUAUAAUUAUCAAAAGUUCUAUUUUAGGAAAGUUUUCAUUUAGGUGAAUAAUAGUGUGUAUUUGGGGUUUUGAUUUAGAAAUUAGGAUAACAAGAAUUGUUUGUUUAAUGAUGGAGUAUUAUUUUAGAUUUUUUGACGAAUAAUUGUAAUUUUUAAAUAUAAUUAUCAAAAGUUCUAUUUUAGGAAAGUUUUCAUUGUCUAUAGAAAUAUUGUAGAUUUGGAGUUGUGAUUUAGAAAUUAGGAUAACAAUAUUUUUUGUUGAUAUAUGAGUAUUUGUUUAGAUUUUUUGAUCAAUAGGUUAUAUUUUAGAUAAAAUUCUCAAAACUUCUAUUUUUAGAAAGUUUUCAUUUUUAUUGAGAAAUAUUGUAGAGUUAGGGUUGUGAUUUAGAAUUUAGGAUAACAAGAAAUUUUGUUGAGAGAUGAGUAUUCUUUGAGGAUUUUUGAUCAAUAAGUUGUAUUUUUAAGAUAAAAUUCUCAAAAAUCUAUUUUAGGAACGUUUUAUUUUUAUUUGGAAAUAUUGUAGAUUUGGGGUUCAGAUUAAAAAUAUUAGAACAACAAGAAUUUUUGUUGAUAGGUGAGCAUUUUUUAAAAAGUUUUGAUCACUAGGUUGUAUAUUUUAUAUAAAAUUCUCAAAAAUUCUAUUUUUGGAAAGUUUCAUUUUUGUGAAUAAUAGUGUGGAUUUGGGGUUUUGAUUUAGAAAUUAGGAUAAAAGAAUUGUUUGUUGAUAGAUGGAGUAUUCUUUUACAUUUUUUGAUGAAUAGUUGUAUUUUUAAAAUAUAAUUCUCAAAAGUUCUAUUUUAGGAAAGUUUUCAUUUUGAUGAAUAAUAGUGUGGAUUUGGGGUUUUGAUUUAGAAAUUAGGAUAACAAGAAUUGUUUGUUGAAAGAUGGAGUAUUCUUUUAGAUUUUUUGAUCAAUAGUUGUAUUUUUUAAAUAUAAUUCUCAAAAGUUCUAUUUUAGAAAAGUUUUCAUUGUCUAUAGAAAUAUUGUAGAUUUGGGGUUGUGAUUUAGAAAUUAGGAUAACAAUAUUUUUUGUUGAUAUAUGAGUAUUUUUUUUAGAUUUGAUCAAUAGGUUGUUUUUUAGAUAAAAUUCUCAAACUUCUAUUUUUAGAAAGUUUUCAUUUUUAUUGAGAAAUAUUGUAGAUUUAGGGUUGUAAUUUAGAAUUUAGGAUAACAAGAAAUUUUGUUGAUAGAUGAGUAUUCUUUGAGGAUUUUUGAUCAAUAAGUUGUAUUUUUAAGAUAAAAUUCUCAAAAAAUCUAUUUUAGGAAAGUUUUAUUUUUAUUUGGAAAUAUUGUAGAUUUGGGGUUCAGAUUAAAAAUAUUAGAACAACAAGAAUUUUUGUUGAUAGGUGAGCAUUUUUUUAAAGUUUUGAUCACUAGGUUGUAUAUUUUAUAUAAUUCUCAAAAUUCUAUUUUUGGAAAGUUUCAUUUUUGUGAAUAUAGUGUGGAUUUGGGGUUUUGAUUUAGAAAUUAGGAUAACAAGAAUUGUUUGUUGAUAGAUGGAGUAUUCUUUUACAUUUUUUGAUGAAUAGUUGUAUUUUUAAAAUAUAAUUCUCAAAAGUUCUAUUUUAGGAAAGUUUCCAUUUUUGUUGAAUAAUAGUGUGGAUUUGGGGUUUUGAUUUAGAAAUUAGGAUAACAAGAAUUGUUUGUUGAUAGAUGGAGUAUUCUUUUAGAUUUUUUGAUCAAUAGUUGUAUUUUUAAAUAUAAUUAUCAAAAUUCUAUUUUAGGAAAGUUUUCAUUGUCUAUAGAAAUAUUGUAGAUUUGGGGUUGUGAUUUAGAAAUUAGGAUAACAAUAUUUUUUGUUGAUGUAUGAGUAUUUGUUUAGAUUUUUGGAUCAAUAGGUUGUUUUAGAUAAAUUCUCAAAACUUCUAUUUUUAGAAAGUUUUCAUUUUAUUGAGAAAUAUUGUAGAGUUAGGGUUGUGAUUUAGAAUUUAGGAUAACAAGAAAUUUUGUUGAUAGAUGAGUAUUCUUUGAGGAUUUUUGAUCAAUAAGUUGUAUUUUUAAGAUAAAUUCUCAAAAAAUCUAUUUUAGGAAAGAAAGUUUAUUUUUAAUUGGAAAUUGUAGAUUUGGGGUUCAGAUUAAAAAUAUUAGAACAACAAGAAUUUUGUUGAUAGGUGAGUAUUUUUUUAAAAGUUUUGAUCAAUAGGUUGUAUAUUUAUAUAAAAAUUCUCAAAAUUCUAUUUUGGAAAGUUUUCAUUUUUGUGAAUAAUAGUGUGGAUUUGGGGUUUUGAUUUAGAAAUUAGGAUAACAAGAAUUGUUUGUUGAUAGAUGGAGUAUUCUUUUACAAUUUUUGAUGAAUAGUUGUAUUUUUUAAAUAUAAUCUCAAAAGUUAUAUUUUAGAAAAAAAAUUUUGGUGAAUAAUAGUGUGGAUUUGGGGUUUUGAUAUAGAAAUUAGGAUAACAAGAAUUGUUUGUUUACAGAUGGAGUAUUCUUUUAGAUUUUUUGAUCAAUAGUUGUAUUUUUUAAAUAUAAUUAUCAAAAGUUCUAUUUUAGGAAAGUUUUCAUUGUAUAUAGAAAUAUUGUAGAUUUGGGGUUGUUGUUUAGAAAUUAGGAAAAUAUAUUUUUUGAUGUAUGAGUAUUUUUUUAGAUUUUGAUCAAUAGGUUGUAUAUUUAGAUAAAAUUCUCAAAACUUCUAUUUUUAGAAAGUUUUCAUUUUAUUGAGAAAUAUUGUAGAUUUAAGGUUGUGAUUUAGAAUUUAGGAUAACAAGAAAUUUUGUUGAUAGAUGAGUAUUCUUUGAGGUUUUUUGAUCAAUAGGUUGUAUAUUUUAGAUGAAAUUUUCAAAACUUCUAUUUUUUGAAAGUUUUCAUUUUUAUUGAGAAAUAUUGUAGAGUUAGAGUUGUGAUUUAGAAUUUAGGAUAACAAGAAAUUUUGUUGAUAGAUGAGUAUUCCUUGUGGACUUUUGAUCAAUAAGUUGUAUUUUUAAGAUAAAAUUCUCAAAAGUGUUAUUUAGGAAAGUUUUAUUUUUAUUGGGAAAUAUUGUAGAUUUGGGGUUCAGAUUAAAAAUAUUAGAACAACAAGAAUUUUUGUUGAUAGGUGAGCAUUCUUUUAAAAGUUUUGAUCAAUAGGUUGUAUAUUUUAUAUAAAAUUCACAAAAAUUCUAUUUUUGGAAAGUUUCAUUUUUGUGAAUAAUAGUGUGGAUUUGAGGUUUUGAUUUAGAAAUUACGAUAACAAAAAUUAUUUGUUGAUAGAUGGAGUAUUCUUUUACAUUUUUGAUGAAUAGUUAUAUUUUUUAAAUAUAAUUAUCAAAAGUUCUAUUUUAGGAAAGUUUUCAUUUAGGUGAAUAAUAGUGUUUUGGGGUUUGAUUUAGAAAUUAGGAUAACAAGAAUUGUUUGUUAAUGAUGGAGUAUUAUUUUAGAUUUUUUGACGAAUAAUUGUAAUUUUUAAAUAUAAUUAUCAAAAGUUCUAUUUUAGGAAAGUUUUCAUUGUCUAUAGAAAUAUUGUAGAUUUGGAGUUGUGAUUUAGAAAUUAGGAUAACAAUAUUUUUUGUUGAUUAUGAGUAUUUGUUUUAGAUUUUUUGAUCAAUAGGUUAUAUUUUAGAUAAAAUUCUCAAAACUUCUAUUUUAGAAAGUUUCAUUUUUAUUGAGAAAUAUUGUAGAGUUAGGGUUGUGAUUUAGAAUUUAGGAUAACAAGAAAUUUUGUGAGAGAUGAGUAUUCUUUGAGGAUUUUGAUCAAUAAGUUGUAUUUUAAGAUAAAAUUCUCAAAAAUUCUUUUUAGGAACGUUUUAUUUUUAUUUGGAAAUAUUGUAGAUUUGGGGUUCAGAUUAAAAAUAUUAGAACAACAAGAAUUUUUGUUGAUAGGUGAGCAUUUUUAAAAAGUUUUGAUCACUAGGUGUAUAUUUUAUAUAUAAAAUUCUCAAAAUUCUAUUUUUGAAAGUUUCAUUUUGUGAAUAAUAGUGUGGAUUUGGGGUUUUGAUUUAGAAAUUAGGAUAAAGAAUUGUUUGUUGAUAGAUGGAGUAUUCUUUUACAUUUUUUGAUGAAUAGUUGUAUUUUUAAAUAUAAUUCUCAAAAGUUCUAUUUUAGGAAAGUUUCAUUUUGAUGAAUAAUAGUGUGGAUUUGGGGUUUUGAUUUAGAAAUUAGGAUAACAAGAAUUGUUUGUUGAAAGAUGGAGUAUUCUUUUAGAUUUUUUGAUCAAUAGUUGUAUUUUUUAAAUAUAAUUCUCAAAAGUUCUAUUUUAGAAAGUUUUCAUUGUCUAUAGAAAUAUUGUAGAUUUGGGGUUGUGAUUUAGAAAUUAGGAUAACAAUAUUUUGUUGAUAUAUGAGUAUUUUUGUUAGAUUUUUUGAUCAAUAGGUUGUAUAUUUUAGAUAAAAUUCUCAAAACUUCUAUUUUUAGAAAGUUUUCAUUUUUAUUGAGAAAUAUUGUAGUUUAGGGUUGUGAUUGUAAUUUAAUUUAGGAUAACAAGAAAUUUUGUUGAUAGAUGAGUAUUCUUUGAGGAUUUUUGAUCAAUAAGUUGUAUUUUUAAGAUAAAAUUCUCAAAAAAUCUAUUUUAGGAAAGUUUUUUUUUAUUUGGAAAUAUUGUAGAUUUGGGGUUCAGAUUAAAAAUAUUAGAACAACAAGAAAUUUUUGUUAGGUGAGCAUUUUUUAAAAGUUUUGAUCACUAGGUGUAUAUUUUAUAUAAAAUUCUCAAAAAUUCUAUUUUGGAAAUUUCAUUUUGUGAAUAAUAGUGUGGAUUUGGGGUUUUGAUUUAGAAAUUAGGAUAACAAGAAUUGUUUGUUGAUAGAUGGAGUAUUCUUUUACAUUUUUUGAUGAAUAGUUGUAUUUUAAAAUAUAAUUCUCAAAAGUUCUAUUUUAGGAAAGUUUCCAUUUUGUUGAAUAAUAGUGUGGAUUUGGGGUUUUGAUUUAGAAAUUAGGAUAACAAGAAUUGUUUGUUGAUAGAUGGAGUAUUCUUUUAGAUUUUUGAUCAAUAGUUGUAUUUUUUAAAUAUAAUUAUCAAAAGUUCUAUUUUAGGAAAGUUUUCAUUGUCUAUAGAAUAUUGUAGAUUUGGGGUUGUGAUUUAGAAAUUAGGAUAACAAUAUUUUUUGUUGAUAUAUGAGUAUUGUUUAGAUUUUUGGAUCAAUAGGUUGUUUAUCUUAGAUAAAAUUCUCAAAACUUCUAUUUUAGAAAGUUUUCAUUUUUAUUGAGAAUAUUGUAGAGUUAGGGUUGUGAUUUAGAAUUUAGGAUAACAAGAAAUUUGUUGAUAGAUGAGUAUUCUUUGAGGAUUUUUGAUCAAUAAGUUGUAUUUUUAAGAUAAAAUUCUCAAAAAUCUAUUUUAGGAAAGUUUUAUUUUUAAUUGGAAAUAUUGUAGAUUUGGGGUUCAGAUUAAAAAUAUAGAACAACAAGAAUUUUGUUUGAUAGGUGAGUAUUUUUUUAAAAGUUUUGAUCAAUAGGUUGUAUUUUUAUAUAAAAUUCUCAAAAAUUCUAUUUUUGGAAAGUUUCAUUUUUGUGAAUAAUAGUGUGGAUUUGGGGUUUUGAUUUAGAAAUUAGGAUAACAAGAAUUGUUUGUUGAUAGAUGGAGUAUUCUUUACAUUUUUUGAUGAAUAGUUGUAUUUUUUAAAUAUAAUUCUCAAAAGUUAUAUUUAGAAAAAAAAAAUUUUGGUGAAUAAUAGUGUGGAUUUGGGGUUUUGAUUAUAGAAAUUAGGAUAACAAGAAUUGUUUGUUACAGAUGGAGUAUUCUUUUAGAUUUUUUGAUCAAUAGUUGUAUUUUUUAAAUAUAAUUAUCAAAGUUCUAUUUUAGGAAAGUUUUCAUUGUAUAUAGAAAUAUUGUAGAUUUGGGGUUGUGGUUUAGAAAUUAGGAUAAAAAUAUAUUUUUUGAUGUAUGAGUAUUUUUUUAGAUUUUUUUAUCAAUAGGUGUAUAUUUAGAUAAAAUCUCAAAACUUCUAUUUUAGAAAGUUUUCAUUUUUAUGAGAAAUAUUGUAGAUUUAAGGUUGUGAUUUAGAAUUUAGGAUAACAAGAAAUUUUGUUGAUAGAUGAGUAUUCUUUAGGUUUUUGAUCAAUAGGUUGUAUAUUUUAGAUGAAAUUUUCAAAACUUCUAUUUUUGAAAGUUUUCAUUUUUAUUGAAAAUAUUGUAGAGUUAGAGUUUGAUUUAGAAUUAGGAUAACAAGAAAUUUUGUUGAUAGAUGAGUAUUCUUGUGGACUUUUGAUCAAUAAGUUUGUAUUUUAAGAUAAAAUUCUCAAAAGUGUUAUUUAGGAAAGUUUUAUUUUUAUGGGAAAUAUUGUAGAUUUGGGGUUCAGAUUAAAAAUAUUAGAACAACAAGAAUUUUUGUUGAUAGGUGAGCAUUCUUUUAAAAAGUUGAUCAAUAGGUUGUAUAUUUUAUAUAAAAUUCACAAAAUUCUAUUUUUGGAAAGUUUCAUUUUUGUGAAUAAUAGUGUGGAUUUUGGGUUUUGAUUUAGAAAUUACGAUAACAAAAUUGUUUGUUGAUAGAUGGAGUAUUCUUUUACAUUUUUUGAUGAAUAGUUGUAUUUUUUAAAUAUAAUUAUCAAAAGUUCUAUUUUAGGAAAGUUUUCAUUUAGGUGAAUAAUAGUGUGUAUUUGGGGUUUGAUUUAGAAAUUAGGAUAACAAGAAUUGUUUUUUGUUAAUGAUGGAGUAUUAUUUUAGAUUUUUGACAAUAAUGUAUUUUUAAAUAUAAUUAUCAAAAGUUAUAUUUUAGGAAAGUUUUCAUUGUCUAUAGAAAUAUUGUAGAUUUGGAGUUGUGAUUUAGAAAUUAGGAUAACAAUAUUUUUUGUUGAUAUAUGAGUAUUUGUUUAGAUUUUUUGAUCAAUAGGUUAUAUUUUAGAUAAAUUCUCAAAACUUCUAUUUUUAAAAAGUUUCAUUUUUAUUGAGAAAUAUUGUAGAGUUAGGGUUGUGAUUUAGAAUUUAGGAUAACAAGAAAUUUUGUUGAGAGAUGAGUAUUCUUUGAGGAUUUUUGAUCAAUAAGUUGUAUUUUUAAGAUAAAAUUCUCAAAAAUCUAUUUUAGGAAAGUUUUAUUUUUAUUUGGAAAUAUUGUAGAUUUGGGGUUCAGAUUAAAAAUAUUAGAACAACAAGAAUUUUUGUUGAUAGGUGCCAUUUUUAAAAAGUUUUGAUCACUAGUUGUAUUUAUAUAUAAAAUUUUCAAAAAUUCUAUUUUUGGAAAGUUUCAUUUUUGUGAAUAAUAGUGUGGAUUUGGGGUUUUGAUUUAGAAAUUAGGAUAAAAGAAUUGUUGAUAGAUAGAGGAGUAUUCUUUUACAUUUUUUGAUGAAUAGUUGUAUUUUUAAAAUAUAAUUCUCAAAAGUUCUAUUUUAGGAAAGUUUCCAUUUUGAUGAAUAAUAGUGUGGAUUUGGGGUUUUGAUUUAGAAAUUAGGAUAACAAGAAUUGUUUGUUGAAAGAUGGAGUAUUCUUUUAGAUUUUUGAUCAAUAGUUGUAUUUUAAAUAUAAUUCUCAAAAGUUCUAUUUUAGGAAAGUUUUCAUUGUCUAUAGAAAUAUUGUAGAUUUGGGGUUGUGAUUUAGAAAUUAGGAUAACAAUAUUUUUGUUGAUGUAUAUGAGUAUUUUUUUAGAUUUUUGAUCAAUAGGUUGUUAUUUUAGAUAAAAUUCUCAAAACUUCUAUUUUUAGAAAGUUUUCAUUUUUAUUGAGAAAUAUUGUAGAUUAGGGUUGUGAUUUAGAAUUUAGGAUAACAAGAAAUUUUGUUGAUAGAUGAGUAUUCUUUGAGGAUUUUUGAUCAAUAAGUUGUAUUUUUAAGAUAAAAUUCUCAAAAAAUCUAUUUUAGGAAAGUUUUAUUUUAUUUGGAAAUAUUGUAGAUUUGGGGUUCAGAUAAAAAUAUUAGAACAACAAGAAUUUUUGUUGAUAGGUGAGCAUUUUUUAAAAGUUUUGAUCAAUAGGUUGUAUAUUUAUAUAAAAUUCUCAAAAAUUCUAUUUUUGGAAAGUUUCAUUUUUGUGAAUAAUAGUGUGGAUUUGGGUUUUGAUUUAGAAAUUACGAUAACAAGAAUUGUUUGUUGAUAGAUGGAGUAUUCUUUUACAUUUUUUGAUGAAUAGUUGUAUUUUAAAAUAUAAUUCUCAAAAGUUCUAUUUUAGGAAAGUUUCAUUUUGAUGAAUAAUUGUGGAUUUGGGGUUUUGAUUAGAAAUUAGGAUAACAAGAAUUGUUUGUUGAAAGAUGGAGUAUUCUUUUAGAUUUUUUGAUCAAUAGUUGUAUUUUUUAAAUAUAAUUAUCAAAAGUUCUAUUUUAGGAAAGUUUUCAUUGUCUAUAGAAAUAUUGUAGAUUUGGAGUUGUGAUUUAGAAAUUAGGAUAACAAUAUUUUUUGUUGAUGUAUGAGUAUUUGUUUAGAUUUUUUGAUCAAUAGGUUAUAUUUUAGAUAAAAUUCUCAAAACUUCUAUUUUUAGAAAGUUUUCAUUUUUAUUGAGAAUAUUGUAGAGUUAGGUUUGUGAUUUAGAAUUUAGGAUAACAAGAAUUUUGUUGAUAGAUGAGUAUUCUUUGAGGAUUUUUGAUCAAUAAGUUGUAUUUUUAAGAUAAAAUUCUCAAAAAUCUAUUUUAGGAAAGUUUUAUUUUUAUUUGGAAAUAUUGUAGAUUUGGGGUUCAGAUUAAAAUAUUAGAACAACAAGAAUUUUUGUUGAUAGGUGAGCAUUUUUUAAAAGUUUUGAUCAAUAGGUUGUAUAUUUAUAUAAAAUUCUCAAAAAUUCUAUUUUGGAAAGUUUCAUUUUGUGAAUAAUAGUGUGGAUUUGGGGUUUUGAUUUAGAAAUUAGGAUAACAAGAAUUGUUUGUUGAUAGAUGGAGUAUUCUUUUACAUUUUUUGAUGAAUAGUUGUAUUUUUAAAAUAUAAUUCUCAAAGUUCUAUUUUAGGAAAGUUUCCAUUUGUUGAAUAAUAGUGUGGAUUUGGGGUUUUGAUUAGAAUUAGGGAUAACAAGAAUUGUUUGUUGAUAGAUGGAGUAUUCUUUUAGAUUUUUGAUCAAUAGUUGUAUUUUUAAAUAUUAUUAUCAAAAGUUCUAUUUUAGGAAAGUUUUUCAUUGUCUAUAGAAAUAUUGUAGAUUUGGGGUGUGAUUUAGAAAUUAGGAUAACAAUAUUUUUUGUUGAUGUAUGAGUAUUUUUUUAGAUUUUUGAUCAAUAGGUUGUUUAUUUUAGAUAAAAUUCUCAAAACUUCUAUUUUUAGAAAGUUUUCAUUUUUAUUGAGAAAUAUUGUAGACUUAGGUUUGUGAUUUAGAAUUUAGGAUAACAAGAAAUUUUGUUGAUAGAUGAGUAUUCUUUGAGGAUUUUUGAUCAAUAAGUUUUAUUUUAAGAUAAAAUUCUCAAAAAAUCUAUUUAGGAAAGUUUUAUUUUUAUUGGAAAUAUUGUAGAUUUGGGGUUCAGAUUAAAAAUAUUAGAACAACAAGAAUUUUUGUUGAUAGGUGAGCAUUCUUUUAAAAGUUUUGAUCAAUAGUUGUAUAUUUUAUAUAAAAUUCUCAAAAAUUCUAUUUUUGGAAAGUUUUCAUUUUGUGAAUAAUAGUGUGGAUUUGGGUUUUGAUUUAGAAAUUAGGAUAACAAGAAUUGUUUGUUGAUAGAUGGAGUAUUCUUUUACAUUUUUUUAUGAAUAGUUGUAUUUUUUAAAUAUAAUUCUCAAAAGUUAUAUUCUCAAAAGUUCUAUUUAGAAAAUUUCUUUUUGGUGAAUAAUAGUGUGGAUUUGGGGUUUUGAUUUAGAAAUUAGGAUAACAAGAAUUGUUUGUUUACAGAUGGAGUAUUCUUUUAGAUUUUUUGAUCAAUAGUUGUAUUUUUUAAAUAUAAUUAUCAAAAGUUCUAUUUUAGGAAAGUUUUCAUUGUAUAUAGAAAUAUUGUAGAUUUGGGGUUGUGGUUUAGAAAUUAGGAUAAAAAUAUAUUUUUUUGAUGUAUGAGUAUUUUUUUAGAUUUUUUUUAUCAAUAGGUUGUAUAUUUUAGAUAAAAUUCUCAAAACUUCUAUUUUUAGAAAGUUUUCAUUUUUAUUGAGAAAUAUUGUAGAUUUGGGUUGUGAUUUAGAAUUAGGAUAACAAGAAUUUUGUUGAUAGAUGAGUAUUUUUGAGGUUUUUGAUCAAUAGUUGUAUAUUUUAGAUAAAAUUCUCAAAACUUCUAUUUUUUGAAAGUUUUCAUUUUUAUUGAGAAAUAUUGUAGAGUUAGGGUUGUGAUUUAGAAUUUAGGAUAACAAGAAAUUUUGUUGAUAGAUGAGUAUUCUUUGAGGAUUUUGAUCAAUAAGUUGUAUUUUUAAGAUAAAAUUCUCAAAAAUCUAUUUUAGGAAAGUUUUAUUUUUAUUGGGAAAUAUUGUAGAUUUGGGGUUCAGAUUAAAAAUAUUAGAACAACAAGAAUUUUUGUUGAUAGGUGAGCAUUCUUUAAAAGUUUUGAUCAAUAGGUUGUAUAUUUUAUAUAAAAUUCUCAAAAAUUCUAUUUUGGAAAGUUUCAUUUUUGUGAAUAAUAGUGUGGAUUUGGGGUUUUGAUUUAGAAAUUAGGAUAACAAGAAUUGUUUGUUGAUAGAUGGAGUAUUCUUUUACAUUUUUUGAUGAAUAGUUGUAUUUUUAAAAUAUAAUUCUCAAAAUUCUAUUUUAGGAAAGUUUCCAUUUUGAUGAAUAAUAGUGUGGAUUUGGGGUUUUGAUUUAGAAAUUAGGAUAACAAGAAUUGUUUGUUGAAAGAUGGAGUAUUCUUUUAGAUUUUUUGAUCAAUAGUUGUAUUUUUUAAAUAUAAUUCUCAAAAGUUCUAUUUUAGGAAAGUUUUCAUUGUCUAUAGAAAUAUUGUAGAUUUGGAGUUGUGAUUUAGAAAUUAGGAUAACAAUAUUUUUUGUUGAUGUAUGAGUAUUUGUUUAGAUUUUUGAUCAAUAGGUUAUAUUUUAGAUAAAAUUCUCAAAACUUCUAUUUUAAAAAGUUUUCAUUUUUAUUGAGAAAUAUUGUAGAGUUAGGGUUGUGAUUUAGAAUUUAGGAUAACAAGAAAUUUUGUUGAUAGAUGAGUAUUCUUUGAGGAUUUUUGAUCAAUAAGUUGUAUUUUUAAGAUAAAAUUCUCAAAAAAUCUAUUUUAGGAAAGUUUUAUUUUUAUUUGGAAAUAUUGUAGAUUUGGGGUUCAGAUUAAAAAUAUUAGAACAACAAGAAUUUUUGUGGAUAGGUGAGCAUUUUUAUAAAAGUUUGAUUAAUAGGUUGUAUAUUUUAUAUAAAAUUCUCAAAAAUUCUAUUUCUGGAAAGUUUCAUUUUUGUGAAUAAUAGUGUGGAUUUGGGGUUUUGAUUUAGAAAUUAGGAUAACAAGAAUUGUUUGUUGAUAGAUGGAGUAUUCUUUUACAUUUUUUGAUGAAUAGUUGUAUUUUUAAAAUAUAAUUCUCAAAAGUUCUAUUUUAGGAAAGUUUCCAUUUUGUUGAAUAAUAGUGUGGAUUUGGGGUUUUGAUUUAGAAAUUAGGAUAACAAGAAUUGUUUGUUGAUAGAUGGAGUAUUCUUUUAGAUUUUUUGAUCAAUAGUUGUAUUUUUUAAAUAUAAUUAUCAAAAUUCUAUUUUAGGAAAGUUUUCAUUGUCUAUAGAAAUAUUGUAGAUUUGGGGUUGUGAUUUAGAAAUUAGGAUAACAAUAUUUUUGUUGAUAUAUGAGUAUUUUUUAGAUUUUUUGAUCAAUAGGUUGUUUUUUUAGAUAAAAUUCUCAAAACUUCUAUUUUUAGAAAGUUUUCAUUUUUAUUGAGAAAUAUUGUAGAUUUAGGGUUGUGAUUUAGAAUUUAGGAUAACAAGAAAUUUUGUUGAUAGAUGAGUAUUCUUUGAGGAUUUUUGAUCAAUAAGUUGUAUUUUUAAGAUAAAAUUCUCAAAAAAUCUAUUUUAGGAAAGUUUUAUUUUAAUUGGAAAUAUUGUAGAUUUGGGGUUCAGAUUAAAAAUAUUAGAACAACAAGAAUUUUUGUUGAUAGGUGAGCAUUCUUUUAAAAUUUUGAUCAAUAGGUUGUAUAUUUAUAUAAAAUUCUCAAAAAUUCUAUUUUUGGAAAGUUUUCAUUUUUGUGAAUAAUAGUGUGGAUUUGGGGUUUUGAUUUAGAAAUUAGGAUAACAAGAAUUGUUUGUUGAUAGAUGGAGUAUUCUUUUACAUUUUUUAUGAAUAGUUGUAUUUUUAAAUAUAAUUCUCAAAAGUUAUAUUUUAGAAAAAUUUUCUUUUUGGUGAAUAAUAGUGUGGAUUUGGGGUUUUGAUAUAGAAAUUAGGAUAACAAGAAUUGUUUGUUUACAGAUGGAGUAUUCUUUUAGAUUUUUUGAUCAAUAGUUGUAUUUUUUAAAUAUAAUUAUCAAAAGUUCUAUUUUAGGAAAGUUUUCAUUGUAUAUAGAAAUAUUGUAGAUUUGGGGUUGUGGUUUAGAAAUUAGGAUAAAAAUAUAUUUUUUUGAUGUAUGAGUAUUUUUUUAGAUUUUUUUUAUCAAUAGGUUGUAUAUUUUAGAUAAAAUUCUCAAAACUUCUAUUUUAGAAAUUUUCAUUUUUAUUGAGAAAUAUUGUAGAUUUAAGGUUGUGAUUUAGAAUUUAGGAUAACAAGAAUUUUGUUGAUAGAUGAGUAUUCUUUGAGGUUUUUUGAUCAAUAGUUGUAUAUUUUAGAUGAAAUUUUCAAAAUUCUAUUUUUGAAAGUUUUCAUUUUUUAUGAGAAUAUUGUAGAGUUAGAGUUGUGAUUUAGAAUUUAGGAUAACAAGAAAUUUUGUUGAUAGAUGAGUAUUCCUUGUGGAUUUUUGAUCAAUAAGUUGUAUUUUUUAAGAUAAAAUUCUCAAAAGUGUUAUUUAGGAAAGUUUUAUUUUUAUUGGGAAAUAUUGUAGAUUUGGGGUUCAGAUUAAAAUAUUAGAACAACAAGAAUUUUUGUUGAUAGGUGAGAAUUCUUUUAAAAGUUUGAUCAAUAGGUUGUAUUUUUAUAUAAUUCACAAAAAUUUAUUUUUGGAAAGUUUCAUUUUUGUGAAUAAUAGUGUGGAUUUGGGGUUUUGAUUUAGAAAUUACGAUAACAAAAAUUAUUUGUUGAUAGAUGGAGUAUUCUUUUACAUUUUUUGAUGAAUAGUUGUAUUUUUAAAUAUAAUUAUCAAAAGUUCUAUUUUAGGAAAGUUUUCAUUUUAGGUGAAUAAUAGUGUGUAUUUGGGGUUUUGAUUUAGAAAUUAGGAUAACAAGAAUUGUUUGUUAAUGAUGGAGUAUUAUUUUAGAUUUUUAUCAAUAAUUGUAAUUUUAAAAUAAUUAUCAAAAGUUCUAUUUUAGGAAAGUUUUCAUUGUCUAUAGAAAUAUUGUAGAUUUGGAGGGUUGUGAUUUAGAAAUUAGGAUAACAAUAUUUUUUGUUGAUAGAUGAGUAUUUGUUUAGAUUUUUUGAUCAAUGGGUUAUAUUUUAGAUAAAUUCUCAAAACUUCUAUUUUUAGAAAGUUUUCAUUUUAUUGAGAAAUAUUGUAGAGUUAGGGUUGUGAUUUAGAAUUUAGGAUAACAAGAAAUUUUGUUGAGAGAUGAGUAUUCUUUGAGGAUUUUUUAUCAAUAAGUUGUAUUUUUAAGAUAAAAUUCUCAAAAAAUCUAUUUUAGGAAGUUUUUAUUUUUAUUUGGAAAUAUUGUAGAUUUGGGGUUUCAGAUUAAAGUAUUUAGAACAACAAGAAUUUGUUGAUAGGUGAGCAUUUUUUAAAAAGUUUUGAUCAAUAGGUUGUAUAUUUUAUAUAAAAUUCUCAAAAUUCUAUUUUUGGAAAGUUUCAUUUUUGUGAAUAAUAGUGUGGAUUUGGGGUUUGAUUUAGAAAUUAGGAUAAAAAAAUUGUUGUUGAUAGAUGGAGUAUUCUUUUACAUUUUUUGAUGAAUAGUUGUAUUUUUAAAAUAUAAUUCUCAAAAGUUCUAUUUUAGGAAAGUUUCCAUUUUGAUGAAUAAUAGUGUGGAUUUGGGGUUUUGAUUUAGAAAUUAGGAUAACAAGAAUUGUUUGUUGAAAGAUGGAGUAUUCUUUUAGAUUUUUUGAUCAAUAGUUGUAUUUUUUAAAUAUAAUUCUCAAAAGUUCUAUUUUAGGAAAGUUUUCAUUGUCUAUAGAAAUAUUGUAGAUUUGGGUUGUGAUUUAGAAAUUAGGAUAACAAUAUUUUUUGUUGAUGUAUGAGUAUUUUUUUAGUUUUUUUGAUCAAUAGGUUGUAUAUUUUUAGAUAAAUUCUCAAAACUUCUAUUUUAGAAAGUUUUCAUUUUUAUUGAGAAUAUUGUAGAUUUAGGGUUGUGAUUUAGAAUUUAGGAUAACAAGAAAUUUUGUUGAUAGAUGAGUAUUCUUUGAGGAUUUUUGAUCAAUAAGUUGUAUUUUUAAGAUAAAUUCUCAAAAAUCUAUUUUAGGAAAGUUUUAUUUUUUAAUUGGAAAUAUUGUAGAUUUGGGGUUCAGAUUAAAAAUAUUAGAACAACAAGAAUUUUUUGUUAUAGGUGAGCAUUCUUUUAAAAGUUUUGAUCAAUAGGUUGUAUAUUUAAUAUAAAAUUCUCAAAAAUUCUAUUUUUGGAAAGUUUUCAUUUUUGUGAAUAAUAGUGUGGAUUUGGGGUUUUGAUUUAGAAAUUAGGAUAACAAGAAUUGUUUGUUGAUAGAUGGAGUAUUCUUUUACAUUUUUUGAUGAAUAGUUGUAUUUUUAAAUAUAAUUCUCAAAAGUUCUAUUUUAGAAAAUUUUCUUUUUGGAUAAUAGUGUGGAUUUGGUUUUGAUUUAGAAAUUAGGAUAACAAGAAUUGUUGUUUACAGAUGGAGUAUUCUUUUAGAUUUUUUGAUCAAUAGUUGUAUUUUUUAAAUAUAAUUAUCAUAAGUUCUAUUUUAGGAAAGUUUUCAUUGUAUAUAGAAAUAUUGUAGAUUUGGGUUGUGGUUUAGAAAUUAGGAUAAAAUAUUUUUUUUGAUGUAUGAGUAUUUUUUUAGAUUUUUUGAUCAAUAGUUGUAUAUUUUAAAUAAAAUUCUCAAAAUUCUAUUUUUUAAAGUUUUCAUUUUUAUUGAGAAAUAUUGUAGAUUUGGGUUGUGAUUUAGAAUUUAGGAUAACAAGAAAUUUGUUGAUAGAUGAGUAUUCUUUGAGGUUUUGAUCAAUAGGUUGUAUAUUUUAGAUAAAUUUUCAAAACUUCUAUUUUUUGAAAGUUUUCAUUUUUAUUGAGAAAUAUUGUAGAUUAGGGUUGUGAUUUAGAAUUUAGGAUAACAAGAAAUUUUGUUGAUAGAUGAGUAUUCUUUGGACUUUUGAUCAAUAAGUUGUAUUUUUAAGAUAAAAUUCUCAAAAGUUUAUUUAGGAAAGUUUUAUUUUUAUUGGGAAAUAUUGUAGAUUUGGGGUUCAGAUUAAAAUAUUAGAACAACAAGAAUUUUUGUUGAUAGGUGAGAUUCUUUUAAAUUUUUUGAUCAAUAGGUUGUAUAUUUAAUAUAAAAUUCUCAAAAAUUCUAUUUUAGGAAAGUUCAUUUUUGUGAAUAAUAGUGUGGAUUUGGGGUUUUGAUUUAGAAAUUACGAUAACAAAAAUUAUUUGUUGAUAGAUGGAGUAUUCUUUUAGAUUUUUUGAUGAAUAGUUGUAUUUUUUAAAUAUAAUUAUCAAAAGUUCUAUUUUAGGAAAGUUUUCAUUAGGUGAAUAAUAGUGUGUAUUUGGGUUUUGAUUUAGAAAUUAGGAUAACAAGAAUUGUUUGUUUAAUGAUGGAGUAUUUUUUAGAUUUUUGACAAAUAAUUGUAAUUUAAAAUAUAAUUAUCAAAAGUUCUAUUUUAGGAAAGUUUUCAUUGUCUAUAGAAAUAUUGUAGAUUUGGAUUGUGAUUUAGAAAUUAGGAUAACAAAUUUUUUUUGUUGAUAGAUGAGUAUUUGUUUAGAUUUUUGAUCAAUAGGUAUAUUUUAGAUAAAAUUCUCAAAACUUCUAUUUUUAGAAAGUUUUCAUUUUUAUGAAAUAUUGUAGAGUUGGGGUUGUGAUUUUAGAAUUUAGGAUAACAAGAAAUUUUGUUGAGAGAUGAGUAUUCUUUGAGGAUUUUGAUCAAUAAGUUGUAUUUUUUAAGAUAAAAUUCUCAAAAAUCUAUUUUAGGAAAGUUUAUUUUUAUUUGGAAAUAUUGUAGAUUUGGGUUCUGAUUUAAAAUAUUAGAAUAACAAGAAUUUUUGUUGAUAGGUGAUAUUUUUUUAAAGUUUGAUCAUAGGUUGUAUUUUUAUAUAAAAUUCUCAAAAAUUCUAUUUUUGGAAAGUUUCAUUUUUGUGAAUAAUAGUGUGGAUUUGGGGUUUUGAUUUAGAAAUUAGGAUAAAAGAAUUGUUUGUUGAUAGAUGGAGUAUUCUUUUACAUUUUUUGAUGAAUAGUUGUAUUUUUAAAUAUAAUUCUCAAAAUUCUAUUUUAGGAAAGUUUCCAUUUUGAUGAAUAAUAGUGUGGAUUUUGGGUUUUGAUUUAGAAUUAGGAUAACAAGAAUUGUUUGUUGAAAGAUGGAGUAUUCUUUUAGAUUUUUUGAUCAAUAGUUGUAUUUUUUAAAUAUAAUUCUCAAAAGUUCUAUUUUAGGAAAGUUUUCAUUGUCUAUAGAAAUAUUGUAGAUUUGGAGUUGUGAUUUAGAGAAUUAGGAUAACAAUAUUUUUGUUGAUGUAUGAGUAUUUCUUUAGAUUUUUUGAUCAAUAGGUUAUAUUUUAGAUAAAAUUCUCAAAACUUUAUUUUUAAAAGUUUUCAUUUUUAUUGAGAAUAUUGUAGAUUUGGGGUUGUGAUUUAGAAAUUAGGAUAACAAGAAAUUUUGUUGAUAGAUGAGUAUUCUUUGAGGAUUUUUGAUCAAUAGUUGUAUUUUUAAGAUAAAAUUCUCAAAAAUCUAUUUUAGGAAAGUUUUUAUUUUUAUUUGGAAAUAUUGUAGAUUUGGGGUUCAGAUUAAAAAUAUUAGAACAACAAGAAUUUUGUUGAUAGGUGAGCAUUUUUAUAAAGUUUUGAUAAUAGGUUGUAUAUUUUAUAUAAAAUUCUCAAAAAUUCUAUUUUGGAAAGUUUCAUUUUUGUGAAUAAUAGUGUGGAUUUGGGUUUUGAUUUAGAAAUUAGGAUAACAAGAAUUGUUUGUUGAUAGAUGGAGUAUUCUUUUACAUUUUUUGAUGAAUAGUUGUAUUUUUAAAAUAUAUUCUCAAAAGUUCUAUUUUAGGAAAGUUUCAUUUUGUUGAAUAAUAGUGUGGAUUUGGGGUUUUGAUUUAAAAUUAGGAUAACAAGAAUUGUUUGUUGAUAGAUGGAGUAUUCUUUUAGAUUUUUUGAUCAAUAGUUGUAUUUUUUAAAUAUAAUUAUCAAAAUUCUAUUUUAGGAAAGUUUUCAUUGUCUAUAGAAAUAUUGUAGAUUGGGGUUGUGAUUAGAGAAAUUAGGAUAACAAUAUUUUUGUUUGAUAUAUGAGUAUUUGUUUAGAUUUUUUGAUCAAUAGGUUGUUUAUUUUAGAUAAAAUUCUCAAAACUUCUAUUUUUAGAAAGUUUUCAUUUUUAUUGAGAAAUAUUGUAGAGUUAGGGUUGUGAUUUAGAAUUUAGGAUAACAAGAAAUUUUGUUGAUAGAUGAGUAUUCUUUGAGGAUUUUUUGAUCAAUAAGUUGUAUUUUUAAGAUAAAAUUCUCAAAAAAAUCUUUAGGAAAGUUUUAUUUUUUAUUGGAAAUAUUGUAGAUUUGGGGUUCAGAUUAAAAAUAUUAGAACAACAAGAAUUUUUGUUGAUAGGUGAGCAUUUUUUUAAAGUUUGAUCAAUAGGUUGUAUAUUUUAUAUAAAAUUCUCAAAAAUUCUAUUUUUGGAAAGUUUUCAUUUUUGUGAAUAAUAGUGUGGAUUUGGGGUUUUGAUUUAGAAAUUAGGAUAACAAGAAUUGUUUGUUGAUAGAUGGAGUAUUCUUUUACAUUUUUUGAUGAAUAGUUGUAUUUUUUAAAUAUAAUUCUCAAAAGUUCUAUUUUAGGAAAGUUUUCAUUUAGUGAAUAAUAGUGUGGAUUUGGGGUUUUGAUUUAGAAAUUAGGAUAACAAGAAUUGUUUGUUUAAUGAUGGAGUAUUCUUUUAGAUUUUUUGACAAUAGUUGUAUUUUUAAAAUAAUUAUCAAAAGUUCUAUUUUAGGAAAGUUUUCAUUGUCUAUAGAAAUAUUGUAGAUUUGGGGUUGUGAUUUAGAAAUUAGGAUAACAAUAUUUUUUGUUGAUAUAUGAGUAUUUGUUUAGAUUUUUUGAUCAAUAGGUUAUAUUUAGAUAAAAUUCUCAAAAUUCUAUUUUAGAAAGUUUUCAUUUUUAUUGAGAAAUAUUGUAGAGUUAGGGUUGUGAUUUAGAAUUUAGGAUAACAAGAAAUUUUGUUGAUAGAUGAGUAUUCUUUGAGGAUUUUUGAUCAAUAAGUUGUAUUUUUAAGAUAAAAUUCUCAAAAAUCUAUUUUAGGAAAGUUUUAUUUUUAUUUGGAAUAUUGUAGAUUUGGGGUUCAGAUUAAAAAUAUUAGAACAACAAGAAUUUUUGUUGAUAGGUGAGCAUUUUUAAAAGUUUUGAUCACUAGGUUGUAUAUUUUAUAUAAAAUUCUCAAAAAUUCUAUUUUUGGAAAGUUUCAUUUUUGUGAAUAAUAGUGUGGAUUUGGGGUUUUGAUUUAGAAAUUAGGAUAAAAGAAUUUUUUGUUGAUAGAUGGAGUAUUCUUUUACAUUUUUUGAUGAAUAGUUGUAUUUUUAAAAUAUAAUUCUCAAAAGUUCUAUUUUAGGAAAGUUUCCAUUUUGAUGAAUAAUAGUGUGGAUUUGGGGUUUUGAUUUAGAAAUUAGGAUAACAAGAAUUGUUUGUUGAAAGAUGGAGUAUUCUUUUAGAUUUUUUGAUCAAUAGUUGUAUUUUUUAAAUAUAAUUCUCAAAAGUUCUAUUUUAGAAAAGUUUUCAUUGUCUAUAGAAAUAUUGUAGAUUUGGGGUUGUGAUUUAGAAAUUAGGAUAACAAUAUUUUUUGUUGAUGUAUGAGUAUUUUUUUUAGAUUUUUUGAUCAAUAGGUUGUAUAUUUUAGAUAAAAUUCUCAAAACUUCUAUUUUUAGAAAGUUUUCAUUUUUAUUGAGAAAUAUUGUAGAUUUAGGGUUGUAAUUUAGAAUUUAGGAUAACAAGAAAUUUUGUUGAGAGAUGAGUAUUCUUUGAGGAUUUUUGAUCAAUAAGUUGUAUUUUUAAGAUAAAAUUCUCAAAAAUCUAUUUUAGGAAAGUUUUAUUUUUAUUUGGAAAUAUUGUAGAUUUGGGGUUCAGAUUAAAAAUAUUAGAACAACAAGAAUUUUUGUGGAUAGGUGAGCAUUUUUAUAAAAGUUUUGAUUAAUAGGUUGUAUAUUUUAUAUAAAAUUCUCAAAAAUUCUAUUUCUGGAAAGUUUCAUUUUUGUGAAUAAUAGUGUGGAUUUGGGGUUUUGAUUUAGAAAUUAGGAUAACAAGAAUUGUUUGUUGAUAGAUGGAGUAUUCUUUUACAUUUUUUGAUGAAUAGUUGUAUUUUUAAAAUAUAAUUCUCAAAAGUUCUAUUUUAGGAAAGUUUCAAUUUUGAUGAAUAAUAGUGUGGAUUUGGGGUUUUGAUUUAGAAAUUAGGAUAACAAGAAUUGUUUGUUGAAAGAUGGAGUAUUCUUUUAGAUUUUUUGAUCAAUAGUUGUAUUUUUUAAAUAUAAUUCUCAAAAGUUCUAUUUUAGGAAAGUUUUCAUUGUCUAUAGAAAUAUUGUAGAUUUGGAGUUGUGAUUUAGAAAUUAGGAUAACAAUAUUUUUUGUUGAUGUAUGAGUAUUUGUUUAGAUUUUUUGAUCAAUAGGUUAUAUUUUAGAUAAAAUUCUCAAAACUUCUAUUUUUAAAAAGUUUUCAUUUUUAUUGAGAAAUAUUGUAGAGUUAGGGUUGUGAUUUAGAAUUUAGGAUAACAAGAAAUUUUGUUGAUAGAUGAGUAUUCUUUGAGGAUUUUUGAUCAAUAAGUUGUAUUUUUAAGAUAAAAUUCUCAAAAAAUCUAUUUUAGGAAAGUUUUAUUUUUAAUUGGAAAUAUUGUAGAUUUGGGGUUCAGAUUAAAAAUAUUAGAACAACAAGAAUUUUUGUUAAUAGGUGAGCAUUCUUUUAAAAGUUUUGAUCAAUAGGUUGUAUAUUUUAUAUAAAAUUCUCAAAAAUUCUAUUUUUGGAAAGUUUUCAUUUUUGUGAAUAAUAGUGUGGAUUUGGGGUUUUGAUUUAGAAAUUAGGAUAACAAGAAUUGUUUGUUGAUAGAUGGAGUAUUCUUUUACAUUUUUUUAUGAAUAGUUGUAUUUUUAAAAUAUAAUUCUCAAAAGUUCUAUUUUAGGAAAGUUUCCAUUUUGAUGAAUAAUAGUGUGGAUUUGGGGUUUUGAUUUAGAAAUUAGGAUAACAAGAAUUGUUUGUUUAAUGAUGGAGUAUUAUUUUAGAUUUUUAACGAAUAAUUGUAAUUUUAAAAUAUAAUUAUCAAAAGUUCUAUUUUAGGAAAGUUUUCAUUGUCUAUAGAAAUAUUGUAGAUUUGGGGUUGUGAUUUAGAAAUUAGGAUAACAAUAUUUUUUGUUGAUAUAUGAGUAUUUGUUUAGAUUUUUGGAUCAAUAGGUUGUUUAUCUUAGAUAAAAUUCUCAAAACUUCUAUUUUUAGAAAGUUUUCAUUUUUAUUGAGAAAUAUUGUAGAGUUAGGGUUGUGAUUUAGAAUUUAGGAUAACAAAAUUUUGUUGAUAGAUGAGUAUUCUUUGAGGAUUUUGAUCAAUAAGUUGUAUUUUUAAGAUAAAAUUCUCAAAAAUCUAUUUAGGAAAGUUUUAUUUUUAUUGGAAAUAUUGUAGAUUUGGGGUUCAGAUUAAAAAUAUUAGAACAACAAGAAUUUUGUUGAUAGGUGAGCAUUCUUUUAAAGUUUUGAUCAAUAGGUGUAUAUUUUUAUAUAAAAUUCUCAAAAAUUCUAUUUUUGGAAAGUUUUCAUUUUUGUGAAUAAUAGUGUGGAUUUGGGGUUUUGAUUUAGAAAUUAGGAUAACAAGAAUUUUGUUGAUAGAUGGAGUAUUCUUUUACAUUUUUUGAUGAAUAGUUGUAUUUUUUUAAAAUAUAAUUCUCAAAAGUUCUAUUUUAGAAAAAAAAAAUUUUGUGGUGAAUAAUAGUGUGGAUUUGGGGUUUUGAUAUAGAAAUUAGGAUAACAAGAAUUGUUUGUUUUACAGAUGGAGUAUUCUUUUAGAUUUUUUGAUCAAUAGUUGUAUUUUUUAAAUAUAAUUAUCAAAAGUUCUAUUUUAGGAAAGUUUCAUUGUCUAUAGAAAUAUUGUAGAUUUGGGUUGUGGUUUAGAAAUUAGGAUAAAAAUAUUUUUUGAUGUAUGAGUAUUUUUUAGAUUUUUUGAUCAAUAGGUUUUAUUUUAGAUAAAAUUCUCAAAACUUCUAUUUUUAGAAAGUUUUCAUUUUUAUUGAGAAAUAUUGUAGAUUAAGGUUGUGAUUUAGAAUUUAGGAUAACAAGAAAUUUUGUUGAUAGAUGAGUAUUCUUUGAGGAUUUUUGAUCAAUAAGUUGUAUUUUUAAGAUAAAUUCUCAAAAGUAUUUUAGGAAAGUUUUAUUUUUAUUGGAAAUAUUGUAGAUUUGGGGUUCAGAUUUAAAAUAUUAGAACAACAAGAAUUUUUGUUGAUAGGUGAGCAUUCUUUUAAAAGUUUUGAUCAAUAGGUUGUAUAUUUAUAUAAAUUCUCAAAAAUUCUAUUUUGGAAAGUUUCAUUUUUGUGAAUAAUAGUGUGGAUUGGGGUUUUGAUUUAGAAAUUAGGAUAACAAGAAUUGUUUGUUGAUAGAUGGAGUAUUCUUUUACAUUUUUUGAUGAAUAGUUGUAUUUUUAAAAUAUAAUUCUCAAAGUUAUUUUAGAAAGUUUUCUUUUGGUGAAUAAUAGUGUGGGGGUUGGGGUUUUGAUUUAGAAAUUAGGAUAACAAGAAUUGUUUGUUUACAGAUGGAGUAUUCUUUUAGAUUUUUUGAUCAAUAGUUGUAUUUUUUAAUAUAAUUAUCAAAGUUCUAUUUUAGGAAAAUUUUCAUUGUAUAUAGAAUAUUGUAGAUUUGGGGUGUGAUUUAGAAAUUAGGAUAAAAAUAUUUUUUUGAUGUAUGAGUAUUUUUUAGAUUUUUUUUAUCAAUAGUUUUCAUUUUUAUUGAGAAAUAUUGUAGAUUAGGUUGUGAUUUAGAAUUUAGGAUAACAAGAAUUUGUUGAUAGAUGAGUAUUCUUUGUGGAUUUUGAUCAAUAAGUUGUAUUUUUAAGAUAAAAUUCUCAAAGUUAUUUAGGAAAGUUUUAUUUUUAUUGGAAUAUUGUAGAUUUGGGGUUCAGAUUAAAAAUAUUAGAACAACAAGAAUUUUUGUUGAUAGGUGAGCAUUCUUUUAAAAGUUUUGAUCAAUAGGUUGUAUAUUUUAUAUAAAAUUCUCAAAAAUUCUAUUUUUGGAAGUUUUCAUUUUUGUGAAUAAUAGUGUGGAUUUGGGGUUUUGAUUUAGAAAUUGGAUAACAAGAAUUGUUUGUUGAUAGAUGGAGUAUUCUUUUACAUUUUUUGAUGAAUAGUUGUAUUUUUUAAAUAUAAUUCUCAAAAGUUAUUUUUAGAAAAUUUCUUUUGGUGAAUAAUAGUGUGGAUUUGGGUUUUGAUUUAGAAAUUAGGAUAACAAGAAUUGUUUGUUUACAGAUGGAGUAUUCUUUUAGAUUUUUUGAUCAAUAGUUGUAUUUUUUAAAUAUAAUUAUCAAAAGUUCUAUUUUAGGAAAGUUUUCAUUGUAUAUAGAAAUAUUGUAGAUUUGGGGUUGUGGUUUAGAAAUUAGGAUAAAAAUAUAUUUUUUUGAUGUAUGAGUAUUUUUUUAGAUUUUUUUUAUCAAUAGGUUGUAUAUUUUAGAUAAAAUUGUCAAAACUUCUAUUUUUAGAAAGUUUUCAUUUUUAUUGAGAAAUAUUGUAGAUUUACGGUUGUGAUUUAGAAUUUAGGAUAACAAGAAAUUUUGUUGAUAGAUGAGUAUUCUUUGAGGUUUUUUGAUCAAUAGGUUGUAUAUUUUAGAUGAAAUUUUCAAAACUUCUAUUUUUUGAAAGUUUUAAUUUUUAUUGAGAAAUAUUGUAGAGUUAGAGUUGUGAUUUAGAAUUUAGGAUAACAAGAAAUUUUGUUGAUAGAUGAGUAUUCCUUGUGGACCUUUGAUUAAUAAGUUGUAUUUUUAAGAUAAAAUUCUCAAAAGUGUUAUUUAGGAAAGUUUUAUUUUUAUUGGGAAAUAUUGUAGAUUUGUGGUUCAGAUUAAAAAUAUUAGAACAACAAGAAUUUUUGCUGAUAGGUGAGCAUUCUUUUAAAAGUUUUGAUCAAUAGGUUGUAUAUUUUAUAUAAAAUUCACAAAAUUCUAUUUUUGGAAAGUUUCAUUUUUGUGAAUAAUAGUGUGGAUUUGGGGUUUUGAUUUAGAAAGUACGAUAACAAAAAUUAUUUGUUGAUAGAUGGAGUAUUCUUUUACAUUUUUUGAUGAAUAGUUGUAUUUUUUAAAUAUAAUUAUCAAAAGUUCUAUUUUAGGAAAGUUUUCAUUUAGGUGAAUAAUAGUGUGUAUUUGGGGUUUUGAUUUAAAAAUUAGGAUAACAAGAAUUGUUUGUUUAAUGAUGGAGUAUUCUUUUAGAUUUUUUGACGAAUAAUUGUAAUUUUUAAAUAUAAUUAUCAAAAGUUCUAUUUUAGGAAAGUUUUCAUUGUCUAUAGAAAUAUUGUAGAUUUGGAGUUGUGAUUUAGAAAUUAGGAUAACAAUAUUUUUUGUUGAUGUAUGAGUAUUUGUUUAGAUUUUUUGAUCAAUAGGUUAUAUUUUAGAUAAAAUUCUCAAAACUUCUAUUUUUAAAAAGUUUUCAUAUUUAUUGAGAAAUAUUGUAGAGUUAGGGUUGUGAUUUAGAAUUUAGGAUAACAAGAAAUUUUUUUGAGAGAUGAGUAUUCUUUGAGGAUUUUUGAUCAAUAAGUUGUAUUUUUAAGAUAAAAUUCUCAAAAAAUCUAUUUUAGGAACGUUUUAUUUUUAUUUGGAAAUAUUGUAGAUUUGGGGUUCAGAUUAAAAAUAUUAGAACAACAUGAAUUUUUGUUGAUAGGUGAGCAUUUUUUUAAAAGUUUUGAUCACUAGGUUGUAUAUUUUAUAUAAAAUUCUCAAAAAUUCUAUUUUUGGAAAGUUUCAUUUUUGUGAAUAAUAGUGUGGAUUUGGGGUUUUGAUUUAGAAAUUAGGAUAACAAGAAUUGUUUGUUGAUAGAUGGAGUAUUCUUUUACAUUUUUUGAUGAAUAGUUGUAUUUUUAAAAUAUAAUUCUCAAAAGUUCUAUUUUAGGAAAGUUUCCAUUUUGAUGAAUAAUAGUGUGGAUUGGGGUUUUGAUUUAGAAAUUAGGAUAACAAGAAUUGUUUGUUGAAAGAUGGAGUAUUCUUUUAGAUUUUUUGAUCAAUAGUUGUAUUUUUUAAAUAUAAUUCUCAAAAGUUCUAUUUUAGAAAAGUUUUCAUUGUCUAUAGAAAUAUUGUAGAUUUGGGGUUGUGAUUUAGAAAUUAGGAUAACAAUAUUUUUUGUUGAUGUAUGAGUAUUUUUUUUAGAUUUUUUGAUCAAUAGGUUGUAUAUUUUAGAUAAAAUUCUCAAAACUUCUAUUUUUUGAAAGUUUUCAUUUUUAUUGAGAAAUAUUGUAGAUUUAGGGUUGUAAUUUAGAAUUUAGGAUAACAAGAAAUUUUGUUGAUAGAUGAGUAUUCUUUGAGGAUUUUUGAUCAAUAAGUUGUAUUUUUAAGAUAAAAUUCUCAAAAAUCUAUUUUAGGAAAGUUUUAUUUUUAUUUGGAAAUAUUGUAGAUUUGGGGUUCAGAUUAAAAAUAUUAGAACAACAAGAAUUUUUGUUGAUAGGUGAGCAUUUUUUUAAAAGUUUUGAUCACUAGGUUGUAUAUUUUAUAUAAAAUUCUCAAAAAUUCUAUUUUUGGAAAGUUUCAUUUUUGUGAAUAAUAGUGUGGAUUUGGGGUUUUGAUUUUGAAAUUAGGAUAACAAGAAUUGUUUGUUGAUAAAUGGAGUAUUCUUUUACAUUUUUUGAUGAAUAGUUGUAUUUUUAAAAUAUAAUUCUCAAAAUUUAUAUUUUAAGAAAGUUUCCAUUUUGACAAAUAAUAGUGUGGAUUUGGGGUUUUGAUUUAGAAAUUAGGAUAACAAGAAUUGUUUGUUGAUAGAUGGAGUAUUCUUUUAGAUUUUUUGAUGAAUAGUUGUAUUUUUUAAAUAUAAUUAUCAAAAGUUCUAUUUUAGGAAAGUUUUCAUUGUCUAUAGAAAUAUUGUAGAUUUGGGAUUGUGAUUUAGAAAUUAGGAUAACAAUAUUUUUUGUUGAUGUAUGAGUAUUUGUUUAGAUUUUUUUAUCAACAUGUUAUAUUUUGAGAAUUUUAUCUAAAAUAUAACCUAUUGAUAAAAAAAUAUAAACAAAUACUUUGAGGAAUUUUGAUCAGUAAGAUGUAUUGUUAAGAUAAAAUUCUCAAAGAGUCUAUUUUAUGAAAGUUUAUUUUUAUUGGGAAAUAUUGUAGAUUUGGGGUUCAGAUUAAAAAUAUUAGAACAACAAGAAUUUUUGUUGAUAGGUGAGCAUUCUUUUAAAAGUUUUGAUCAAUAGGUUGUAUAUUUUAUAUAAAAUUCACAAAAAUUCUAUUUUUUGAAAGUUUUCAUUUUUGUGAAUAAUAGUGUGGAUUUGGGGUUUUGAUUUAGAAAUUAGGAUAACAAGAAUUGUUUGUUGAUAGAUGGAGUAUUCUUUUACAUUUUUUGAUGAAUAGUUGUAUUUUUUUAAAUAUAAUUCUCAAAAGUUAUAUUUUAGAAAAAAAUUCUUUUUGGUGAAUAAUAGUGUGGAUUUGGGGUUUUGAUUUAGAAAUUAGGAUAACAAGAAUUGUUUUUUUACAGAUGGAGUAUUCUUUUAGAUUUUUUUAUGAAUAGUUGUAUUUUUUAAAUAUAAUUCUCAAAAGUUCUAUUUGAAAAAAGUUUUCAUUUUGGUGAAUUAAAGUGUGGAUUUGGGGUUUUGAUUUAGAAAUUAGGAUAACAAGAAUUGCUUGUUUAUAGAUGGAGUAUUCUUUUAGAUUUUUUGACCAAUAGUUGUAUAUUUUAAAUAUAAUUAUCAAAACUUCUAUUUUAGGAAAGUUUUCAUUGUAUAUAGAAAUAUUGUAGAUUUGAGGUUGUGAUUUAGAAAUUAGGAUAACAAUAUUUUUUUUUGAUGUAUGAGUAUUUUUUUUAGAUAUUUUGAUCAAUAGGUUGUAUAUUUUAGAUAAAAUUCUCAAAACUUCUAUUUUUAGAAAUUUUUUAUUUUUAUUGAGAAAUAUUGUAGAUUUAGGGUUGUGAUUUAGAAGUUAGGAUAACAAGAAAUUUGGUUGAUAAAUGAGUAUUCUUUGAGGAUUUUUGAUCAAUAGGUUGUAUAUUUUAGAUGAAAUUUUCAAAACUUCUAUUUUAAGAAAGUUCUCAUUUUUAUUGAGAAAUAUAGUAGAGUUAGGGUUGUGAUUUAGAAUUUAGGAUAACAAGAAAUUUUGUUGAUGGAUGAGUAUUCUUUGAGGAUUUUUUAUCAAUAAUUUGUAUUUUUAAGAUAAAAUUCUCAAAAAAU
rnacentral:lncRNA from 1 species